GACCGCUCCGGUGGCCUAAUGGUUAGAGCGUCCGCCUCCGAUGCGGGAAGUUGUGGGUUCGAUCCCCGGUCGAGUCA